rnacentral:rRNA from 1 species
GGCCGCGGGAAUUCGAUCAGGCCUAACACAUGCAAGUCGAGCGGCAGCGGGAAGGUAGCUUGCUACUUUUGCCGGCGAGCGGCGGACGGGUGAGUAAUGCCUGGGGAUCUGCCCAGUCGAGGGGGAUAACUACUGGAAACGGUAGCUAAUACCGCAUACGCCCUACGGGGGAAAGCAGGGGACCUUCGGGCCUUGCGCGAUUGGAUGAACCCAGGUGGGAUUAGCUAGUUGGUGAGGUAAUGGCUCACCAAGGCGACGAUCCCUAGCUGGUCUGAGAGGAUGAUCAGCCACACUGGAACUGAGACACGGUCCAGACUCCUACGGGAGGCAGCAGUGGGGAAUAUUGCACAAUGGGGGAAACCCUGAUGCAGCCAUGCCGCGUGUGUGAAGAAGGCCUUCGGGUGUAAAGCACUUCAGCGAGGAGGAAAGGUUGGUAGCUAAUAAAUGCCAGCUGGACGUACUCGCAGAAGAAGCCC